GUUCAGUGGUAGAAUUCUCGCCUGC
rnacentral:piRNA from 7 species